UACGGAGGGUGCUAGCGUUGUUCGGAAUCAUUGGGCGUAAAGAGCGUGUAGGCGGCCAGAAAAGUCCGCUGUGAAAACUCGAGGCUCAACUUCGAGCUGUCGGUGGAAACUUUCUGGCUAGAGUCCGGAAGAGGAGAAUGGAAUUCCUGGUGUAGCGGUGAAAUGCGCAGAUAUCAGGAAGAACACCCGUGGCGAAGGCGGUUCUCUGGGACGGUACUGACGCUGAGACGCGAAAGCGUGGGGAGCGAACAGG
rnacentral:rRNA from 1 species